rnacentral:rRNA from 1 species
AUUGAACGCUGGCGGCAUGCUUUACACAUGCAAGUCGAACGGUAACAGGCCGCAAGGUGCUGACGAGUGGCGAACGGGUGAGUAAUGCAUCGGAACGUGCCCAGUCGUGGGGGAUAACUACUCGAAAGAGUAGCUAAUACCACAUACGAUCUAUGGAUGAAAGCGGGGGACCGUAAGGCCUCGCGCGAUUGGAGCGGCCGAUGUCGGAUUAGGUAGUUGGUGGGGUAAAGGCUCACCAAGCCAACGAUCUGUAGCUGGUCUGAGAGGACAACCAGCCACACUGGGACUGAGACACGGCCCAGACUCCUACGGGAGGCAGCAGUGGGGAAUUUUGGACAAUGGGCGCAAGCCUGAUCCAGCAAUGCCGCGUGCAGGAAGAAGGCCUUCGGGUUGUAAACUGCUUUUGUACGGAACGAAACGGCUCUGGUUAAUACCCGGGGCUAAUGACGGUACCGUAAGAAUAAGCACCGGCUAACUACGUGC